CAAAAUUGACAUUGACAUUGUAAAUUUUUGUGUACAAUUUCGUCGAUUUCAUGUCGCUUAAUAUUUUAUAAAAUUAUUUAUAAAAAUAUUUUUAUAAAAGAAUAAUUACACAAUGACAAAAGCAUCAGUGCGACGUAGCGUAACGGACUCCGAGAUAGGUUCGAUAAGGUCGGACCGGGCCAACAAGUUGGGCGCGAUCCUCUGCCCCACAAUAUGCGCCCUGCUCCUCGUCUGCAUAUUCGCAGUCUCCUUCAUCGGGACCAAACUCGCCUACGAACAAUAUGACGCCCUAUGUACUGAUAAACGGUUCGAUGUCGGCAAACUCUACAGCAAAAUUCCUAUGAACUUAACUAUAAAAUUCGUAUAUUUAAACACGAGUAAUAUUUAAUUA